ensembl:snoRNA SNORD54 small nucleolar RNA, C/D box 54
UGGCUAUGAGGAUAAAUCGUAAGCUGAAUUACUGUGAUAAUCUUAUACGCUAUUCUGAGCCAACA